CACGUAGGGGGCGAGCGUUGUCCGGAUUUAUUGGGCGUAAAGGGCUCGUAGGCGGUCUGUCACGUCGGGAGUGAAAACUCGGGGCUUAACCCCGAGCCUGCUUCCGAUACGGGCAGACUAGAGGUAUGCAGGGGAGAAUGGAAUUCCUGGUGUAGCGGUGAAAUGCGCAGAUAUCAGGAGGAACACCGGUGGCGAAGGCGGUUCUCUGGGCAUUACCUGACGCUGAGGAGCGAAAGUGUGGGGAGCGAACAGG
rnacentral:rRNA from 1 species